rnacentral:rRNA from 1 species
AUUGAACGCUGGCGGCAUGCUUAACACAUGCCAGUCGAACGGCAGCGCGGGCUUCGGCCUGGCGUCGGGUUGGCGACGGGCGGGUGAUGCAUCGGGACGUGCCCAGUUGUUGGGGCUAGCACGACAACAGACGGAUGAAUACACCAUACGAGCUUAGGGUGAACGGGGGGGAUCAAAGGUUCUUGCGGCAUUGGGGGGGCCGAUGUGGGGUUGUCGGAUUGGUUGGUUGGGGGGGUAAUGGCGCGCCAAGGCGACGAUCCGUAGCUGGUCCGAGAGGACGAUCAGCCACACUGGAACUGAGACACGGCCCAGACUCCUACGGGAGGCAGCAGUGGGGAAUUUUGGACAAUGGGGGCAAGCCUGAUCCAGCCAUGCCGCGUGCGUGAAGAAGGCCUUCGGGUUGUAAAGCCCUUUUGUUGGGGAAGAAAAGCUGUGGGCUAAUACCCCGCGGUGAUGACGGUACCGGAAGAAUAAGCACCGGCUAACUACGUG